rnacentral:tRNA from 1 species
AUUUAUAUAGUUUAGAAUAAACAUUACAUUUUCACUGUAAAAACAAUUAAUUAAUUUAUAAAUU